AGAACUAGUAUGCAACCAUUUAGAUGCCUUGUUAGAUUCCCCUCCCUUUAGCCCAAAAGUUAAUUCCAAAGAGAAAAACAAGCCCAACCCUUUACCCAAAUCACUUCCAUUUCUCACUAAUCACUGCCCUGUUCUGCCCUACCUGCUUCCUUCCACACAGUUCUUCAAUGGAGAUGCCAAUAUUCAGCCGAAACUUUAGUGUUUGCAGUGGACGAACAAGAGGGUCUCCAUUAUUGUACCAGUUUCUCAGUGCGAUCCUUGGGCGACUGUGAACUAAUGGACUUUUUUUCCCCCUUUGGCUCCGCAUGUCGAUGAAGCUUCUCAACCCCAUGUCAUAUUCUGCACUUUCUGAAUGGGUGGACUUUGUUGCCAGAAUCUGAUCCUUCCCAUCUCAUCAAAAGAUCUUUAGAUGGUGCAAAUAACACUAGAAGAAAUUUGAAGUACAAUGGUUCAUGUUCGGCUACGAAUCCGAUCGAACCAUGCUAAAUUUAACACCAUAAUUUA